ACACUGGUCCUCCAAGUGCCACCCCACCACAAACAACUUAGUAUCACAUUUGUAUUGAAAUUGCAGACAGGCCCCGUUACCAUGCAGACAGACAUGCCCCGUUACCAUGCAGACAGACACGCCCCGUUACCAUACAGACAUACAAGCCCCGUUACCAUACAGACAGACAGGCCCCGUUACCAUACAGACAGACAGGCCCCGUUACCAUGCAGACAGACAGGCCCCGUUACCAUGCAGACAGACAGGCCCCGUUACCAUGCAGACAGACACUAAUCCGGUCAGUGUAUAGCUAGUAAGCCUCAUGCUGCCAUCACCAUUCUUUAAAAAAGAGGGAGAAAACAUCUCACAAGAACGUUGUAGAUUACAACGGGUGAAAUUAGAAUGACAUCCAGUAAACAAGAACAGUGUCAACCUAAUAAAUCCAAUCUGAACUUGUCUGGGACGAUCUCUAGGAAUCACGAUGAAAGCAAGCUCAAGUAACUACUAGAUUAUAACUAAAGGCCAGCAGCAAAAUGAUCAUCAUCAUCACAAACAGGAUGCAUAAGAAAAAUCAGGCCUAACCGUUCUGUUACCCUGACAAGAAUCAACUGAGAACCUUUU
rnacentral:lncRNA from 1 species